AUAUAGAUAUGUAGAUAUAGAUAUAGCUGCAUACCAUAUCUAUCUAUAGAUAGAGAUAGAUGACAUAUACUGGUCUAUAGAUAGAUAUAGUAUAUGAAUGUAUCUUUAUAUCUCCAUACAUAGAGAUAGAUGACAUAUUCUGGUCUGUAACCUUAAUAAAAAAAAUAAGAUACACAUAUAAAAUAUUAAUGGUAAGUAGGUAUCAUGUAGCCUGAUAUGUUCUUUAUUUGAAAGUUAGAGAGAAUUAUGGAAAUUCAUUAACACUUUUUGUGGUAUCAGUACUUAAAAAAGAAACCCUAGAAAUGGAAGGAAUCUCAAUACUUCUCUGAGUCCAGCAUCUCACCAAGAGCACAAAUUCACUGAAAGCCAACUCCACUAACUUCAUCUGAUUUGGGGGAUAAUAAACUACUAACUCCAAAAAUAAAAUAUUGCUGUUAGAAUGUUAUUUCUUAGAUUGAUUAGAAUGUGCUUUCUCAUAAAAUCCCUGCCAUCAUUUCUAUUUUUGUUUCAUAAACUGAAUGAGGCUCUUUAUAAAUUUUCUUUAGAUGGUAGCUUUUUAAAUAGUUUCAGGUUGGAUACACAUAAUUUUUUCAUUUAAAAAUUUCCCCAAUUCUUAUUACUUUUCUGUGUAUCAGAGGAUUUCCAGGCUCAUUACCUUCUUGGUGCUCAUAUCUGAACGUCCUCAGAACCACUUCUCCUUUAGAGUCUGACUCAUGCCAUUCCAAAGUCAGGAUAACCUUUCAAAGGGAAUAGUCAGCUGGGUGAUCCAGCUGUUUACUAGUCCUAGCAAUAUCAGGCUUGAUGUUCUCUAACUAUAAGUAUCAAGGCAGACAAAAGUUUCUUCACUAUUUUCUAGUUUCAAGCCUAUAUUUUUAUUUUGGAAUUUGUAUUUUUAUGAAAUAUAAUAAUUUACAAAUUAUUUUAACAAGCUUUAUAUAUCCUUUAUAAAUUUUGCAAAUUUUUAAGGUAAUCUGGAUCCAAAUAUUCGCCCUCUUAAGUAAUGUGGGAAGCUCAUUUCAGUACAAUUAAUGUGUUAGGAACUAUGAAAUAGCAACACAUUGAGAGUCAAGAACAGACCACAUUCCUUUCAUUUUAACUUAACAUCAUCAUGAAGAGUAAAUUAAGGGUUGACUGGAUUUUUAAAAUUAUAUAUUAACAUACAUACACACAUAUGCAUACACACACACACACACACACACACACAUUGAAAUGUACUUUGGAGCAAAAAGGGACAUUAGUGUAGUGAUGACUUGUAGGGCAAUGACCAGAACAUUAGCCUUAUAUGGGAUCCUAAGUUCUCUUAAUAAAUAAUCAAGCCUAGAAUAUUGUUGUGAAGUUCCACUUACGAGGCACAUAGUGUUCAAAUUCAACUUGACAUUUGAUAUUCUAUGUCACCACUAUGAAAGUUCUUGUAUUUUUUGAAAAUGCUUCGACAGGGAGUCAGUUUACAAUUGAGAUGAAGGAUUAUCAAUGUCGCUUGAUUUAUAAAGAUGUAGUGGGAGGAGACAUGUAAAAUAUCAAAACAUUUAGUUGGAUGUGAGAAGAACUUACCUUGGUGUAUUUUCAAAAGUUCUCUUUUAUUUUGUACAGCUUUGUCUGCCCUAUAUCCAAGCUCAUCCCUUCUCUAAUAAUUUUACUUUAAAAAAUAUGGCAGAUGGGAUGCCUGGGUGGCUGAGCGGUUGAGCCACUGCCUUUGGCUCAGGUCGUGAUCCCUGGGUCCUGGGAUCGAGUCCCACAUCGGGCUCCCUGUGUGGAGCCUGCUUCUCCCUCUCCCUGUGUCUUUGCCUCUCUGUGUGUGUGUCUCUCAUGAAUAAAUAAAUAAAAUAUUUUUAAAAAUAUGACAGAGAAGUUUUAAGAUUUGGGGUUUGACAAGGGGUGAAGCCAUUAAUGCAGGGAGGUGCUGUCAAAACUCAGCUGACAAGCGGCCCUGGGACACUAAUCUUUCCCACUAGGUCCUUGUAUUGAUCCAAAUUUUUUUGAAAAUUUAUCCUCUAAGAUUAUUUCUUUAUUGGAUAGUUUGUCUGUUUAAGAGACAGGCAGAGAAGCAGGGAGCAGAAGAGGGAGACACAGGCUCCUCAAGCACACUCUGCCCCAAGCGCAGAGCCUGCCAGGGGCGGGAUCUCAGGAUGCUGAGACCAUGACCUGAGCCACAACCCGAGUCAGAUGCCUAGUGACUGAGCCGCAGGCGUCAAGCCCCGUGUUCCUGCUGUGGGCACUCCUGCCCCCCCACCCCCCGCCCCCCGUAGCCACUGAGAGCUCGGGCUUUGGUCUGCGCUCCAACUGCCAGGUGGUCUGGAGGCUACAGUGCAGGCUGCACGUCCCCUCUGUCCCACCUCAGGCUGAAAGGGCCUCAGCCCUGAGAAAGAAUCGGAUCUUCCCGACCACCCCCAGCCGGAGGGAGCUGCUGGAGCAGCAGGUAGAAGAACUGGUGCCCGCCUUGCUGUGCUUGGACGACCUUUCCAUUGUUCAAUUUAUGGAAACCUAUCCUGAAUUUGGCACCACCGAAGAGAUCCUGGACCUGCUGUUUGCAAAAUAUGGAUGCAACAAAUAUCUGAAUGAUGACAUCGUGGGAUCCGUGGAGCAGUGCAAAGUGUGAGUGAGCUCUGGCUCAUGCAGGAGGGCCUUCCUCUCCAAGAGGGCAGCGAGGGGGCUGUGGCCUGGAGGGGCUGCUGGACCCUCACCCCACACAUCUGCAAUUCCUGUGACAAGGGCCAUCUCCUUCAUCCUGGACAUCUGGCUGGAGUACUAUCAGGAGGAUUUUCAUCAGCCACCAGAAUUUCUCUUCCUGAGGAAGCUUCUGGCAUUCAUGGGGCUCAACAUGCCAGGCUCAGACCUGGAAAACUGGGCCCAGCGUUACCUGGAAUGAUUCAGCUACCUGGAGCUCGUGGAAUUAGACGAUGAGGAUGAGGAGGACUGGGGGUGGCCAAGCUUGGGACAGGGUGGGCCACACAGACCCAACCUCCAUGCAGGUGGGCCGGGAGCAGUGGGUAGGCUCACACCCCAUUCCCACGGGCUUCAGUCUGGGGAGACCUCCCAGGGCUCUUGUACUCACACACGUUGAGCAGUGGGAAGAGUGUCCUUGAUUUGUGAGGGACGUGGAAAGUCCGUCCUGGUGAUGAUACUUUGUCUUCUUGGGGCUACAGCUUCGGCCCCGGAGCAACACCCUAACCCACCUCAGGAGCCCACCCCAGCUCCGACUGUGGGGCCUGUGGCACCUUCAGGGCCUGAGGUGACCGAGCCGGUCCCUGGCUGCUGGAGGUGAGGGCUUGGCCCAAGCUGAGAUGCUGGCUACUGAGUCCAAGUCAAUGCACAUGGUUUUGGCACCUAUGAUUCCCCACCCUGAUGAGGAGCCACCUGCACCCUUGGUCACCCGGUGGAAGAGUAGGCCCUGGAGCCUGCAGUCGGGGUCCCCAAAGUGCCAGGGCCACCACCUGCCUCUGGAGCAACUGGCUUCGACCCCUGAACAACCCCCUGAACCACCUCAGGAGCCACCCCAGCUCCUACCACGGGGCUCGUGAUGGCUGCAGCCCAAUGGAGGCUUCCCUCCUCGUCAUUGUGCUGUUUCCAUAUUUUGUUUUUCUUUAACCUCUAUAAUGGCUUAUGAAUUUUAUUUGUAAUAAAAGAGGGAUCCCUAGGUGGCGCAGGGAUCCCUAGGUGGCGCAGCGGUUUGGCGCCUGCCUUUGGC